rnacentral:rRNA from 1 species
AACGAACGCUGGCGGCAUGCCUAACACAUGCAAGUCGAACGAGACCUUCGGGUCUUGUGGCGCACGGGUGCGUAACGCGUGGGAACCUGCCCUUAGGUUCGGUAUAACUCCCCGAAAGGGAUGCUAAUACCGGAUAAUGUCUUCGGACCAAAGAUUUAUCGCGUUUGGAUGGGCCCGCGUUGGAUUAGCUAGUUGGUAGGGGAAAAGCCUACCAAGGCGACGUUCCAUAGCUGGUCUGAGAGGAUGCUCAGCCACACUGGGACUGAGACACGGCCCAGACUCCUACGGGGGGCAGCAGUGGGGAAUAUUGGACAAUGGGGGAAAGCCUGAUACAGCCAUGCCGCGGGAGUGAUGAAGGCCUUAGGGUUGUAAAGCUCUUUUACCCGGGAUGAUAAUGACAGUACCGGGAGAAUAAGCUCCGGCUAACUCCGUG